AGUGAACGCUGGCGGCAGGCCUAACACAUGCAAGUCGAGCGGCAGCGCGUCCGACCACCCUCGGGUGGUCGGAUGGCGGCGAGCGGCGGACGGGUGAGGAAUGCAUCGGAAUCUGCCUCGUUGUGGGGGAUAACGUAGGGAAACUUACGCUAAUACCGCAUACGACCUACGGGUGAAAGUGGGGGACCUUCGGGCCUCACGCGAUGAGAUGAGCCGAUGCCGGAUUAGCUAGUUGGCGGGGUAAAGGCCCACCAAGGCGACGAUCCGUAGCUGGUCUGAGAGGAUGAUCAGCCACACUGGAACUGAGACACGGUCCAGACUCCUACGGGAGGCAGCAGUGGGGAAUAUUGGACAAUGGGGGGCAACCCUGAUCCAGCCAUGCCGCGUGUGUGAAGAAGGCCUUCGGUU
rnacentral:rRNA from 1 species